rnacentral:rRNA from 1 species
CGAAUGGCGUAAUGAUGGCCAGGCUGUCUCCACCCGAGACUCAGUGAAAUUGAACUCGCUGUGAAGAUGCAGUGUACCCGCGGCAAGACGGAAAGACCCCGUGAACCUUUACUAUAGCUUGACACUGAACAUUGAGCCUUGAUGUGUAGGAUAGGUGGGAGGCUUUGAAGUGUGGACGCCAGUCUGCAUGGAGCCGGCCUUGAAAUACCACCCUUUAAUGUUUGAUGUUCUAACGUGGACCCGUAAUCCGGGUUGCGGACAGUGUCUGGUGGGUAGUUUGACUGGGGCGGUCUCCUCCUAAAGAGUAACGGAGGAGCACGAAGGUUGGCUAAUCCUGGUCGGACAUCAGGAGGUUAGUGCAAUGGCAUAAGCCAGCUUGACUGCGAGCGUGACGGCGCGAGCAGGUGCGAAAGCAGGUCAUAGUGAUCCGGUGGUUCUGAAUGGAAGGGCCAUCGCUCAACGGAUAAAAGGUACUCCGGGGAUAACAGGCUGAUACCGCCCAAGAGUUCAUAUCGACGGCGGUGUUUGGCACCUCGAUGUCGGCUCAUCACAUCCUGGGGCUGAAGUAGGUCCCAAGGGUAUGGCUGUUCGCCAUUUAAAGUGGUACGCGAGCUGGGUUUAGAACGUCGUGAGACAGUUCGGUCCCUAUCUGCCGUGGGCGCUGGAGAACUGAGGGGGGCUGCUCCUAGUACGAGAGGACCGGAGUGGACGCAUCACUGGUGUUCGGGUUGUCAUGCCAAUGGCACUGCCCGGUAGCUAAAUGCGGAAGAGAUAAGUGCUGAAAGCAUCUAAGCACGAAACUUGCCCCGA